ensembl:lncRNA
UACAAAAAAUAAGCUAUUGUCUUUACUUUCAGAGUGCGGGCUGAUCAAGGGGUGGAAAAUGUAGAUAUUGCAUUGUCCGAGGAACAGGCCGUGGAAGCUAUAUUGCUGGCAAAAGUGUCCAUAACCAGAGGUAAACAUUUUAUUUCACCUUUAUUUAGCCAGGUACUAGUUGAGAACAAGUUCUCAUUUACAACUGCAAACCUGGCCAAGAUAAAGCAAAGCAGUGCGACACAAACAACAACACAGAGUUACACAUGGAAUAAACAAACAUACAGUCAAUAACAAUAGAAAAAGUCUAUAUACAGUGUGUGCAAAUGAGGUAAGUUAAGGGAGGUAAGGCACUGUUCUGUGUUCUUUUUCUCUCUUCCUCUGCCUGUCUUGUUGUACAUGGAACCUGUCUCACAUGCACAGUUUUGGAGGAAGAAGGAUACCUUGACCUGUCGAAUUCUAUCCACUUCUUCUGUGUGGGAUAUGUGUUCCUAUCUCGUCUGCGGGCAGAUCUGCAGCAUUUCACAGUGAGUUGGAAUAAUCACCCUUUAAGUACAGAGGCGAACCUGACACCUCACCAGCUGUGGCAUAUCGGAAUGCUCCAAACACCUGUGCACAUUUUAGUUUUUGCCUUAGCACUACACAGCUGAUUCAAAUGAUCAAGUCAUCAUCAAGCUUCAAGUGGUAUUCAUGUCUUUAGCCUCUUAGUGUGGACACCAGGUGAGACCACACACACUGCUAUACCAGCAGAGGGCAGCCUUGUUCAUUUUAUGUCGACAUGUUUCUUUCCCCAGCGACCAUUCCUAUACAUGAAGUGUGGUGCAGUGGCCUCAGGGAGAAGAUAGCCUACACCUACAGUAGAUGGAGAUGUUUACCGACCACCGACAAAGAUCUGACCUACGCACCCAACAUAGCCACUCCCAUUCCAUAUAGCCCAAGACCUGAAAGGUAAGGAGAUAUUUUAAUUUUCAAUGAAAAUUAACCAACACAAAUCAUCCAUCAUACUUCACUUAUCCUUCAGGGAAGUCAUGUGAAUGUGAAUAGAAGUGCCCUAUCGGUCAAGUUUUUCCUCAAACAUCCAGCAGUGAGGAAGAUCACUUGGUCAGCCAUUUUGAGUUCUGAACCGAUCGACCCAUUGAUUUACCUUUAGAACAAUUGAAUUAAGGUUGUUCUCCCACAAAAGCUUAAUAGCAAAAUAAUAUGAUCUACAGUGAUUAGAGGUCGACCGAUUAUGAUUUUUCAACACCGAUACCUAUUAUUGGAGGACAAAAAAAGCUGAUGCCGAUUAAUCGGACGAUUUUUACAAUGUAUUUGUAAUAAUGACAAUUACAACAAUACUGAAUGAACACUUAUUUUAACUUAAUAUAAUCCAUCAAUAAAAUCAAUUUAGCCUCAAAUAAAUAAUGAAACAUGUUCAAUUUGGUUUAAAUAAUGCAAAAACAAAGUGUUGGAGAAGAAAGUAAAAGUGCAAUAUGUGCCAUGUAAGAAAGCUAACGUUUAAGUUCCUUGCUCAGAACAUGAGAACAUAUGAAAGCUGGUGGUUCCUUUUAACAUGAGUCUUCAAUAUUCCCAGGUAGGAAGUUUUAGGUUGUAGUUAUUAUAGGAAUUAUAGGACUAUUUCUCUCUAUACCAUUUGUAUUUCAUAUACCUUUGACUAUUGGACGUUCUUAUAGGCACUUUAGUUUUGCCAGUGUAACAGUAUAGCUUUCGUACCUCUCCUCGCUCCUACCUGGGCUCGAACCAGGAACACAACGACAACAGCCACCCUCGAAGCAGCGUUACCCAUGCAGAGCAAGGGGAACAACUACUCCAAGUCUCAGAGCCAGUGACGUUUGAAACACUAUUAGCGCGCACCCCGCUAACUAGCUAGCCAUUUCACAUCACAUUGUUACACCAGCCUAAUCUCGGGAGUUGAUAUUCUUGAAGUCAUAAACAGCAGAGCUGCUGGCAAAACGCACAAAAGUGCUGUUUGAAUGAAUGCUUACGAGCCUGCUGGUGCCUACCAUUGCUCAGUCAGACUGCUCUAUCAAAUCAUAGACUUAAUUAUAACAUAAUAACACACAGAAAUGCGAGCCUUAGGUCAUUAAUAUGGUUGAAUCUGGAAACUAUCAUCACUAAAACAAGACGUCUAUUUUUUCAGUGAAAUACGGAACCGUUCCGUAUUUUAUCUAAUGGGUUGCAUCCAUCAGUCUAAAUAUUCAUGUUACAUUGCACAACCUUCAAUGUUAUGUCAUCAUAAAAUUCUGGCAAAUUAGUUUGCAAUGAACCAAGCGGCCCAAACUGUUGCAUAUACCCUGACUCUGCGUGCAAUGAACGCAAGAGAAGUGACACAAUUUCACCUGGUUAAUAUUGCCUGCUAACCUGGAUUUCUUUUAGCUAAAUAUGCAGGUUUAAAAAUAUAUACUUCUGUGUAUUGAUUUUAAGAAAGGCAUUGUCCUUUUUUGCGAAUGCGCACUGCAUCGAUUAUAUGCAACGCAGGACACGCUAGAUAAACUAGUAAUAUCAUCAACCAUGUGUAGUUAUAACUAGUGAUUAUGAUUGAUUAAGUUUAAUGCUAGCUAGCAACUUACCUUGGCUUCUUACUGCAUUCGCGUAACAGGCGGGCUCCUCGUGAGGCAUGUGGUUAGAGUGUUGGACUAGUUAACCGUAAGGUUGCAAGAUUGAAUCCCUAAACAAGGCAGUUAACCCACCGUUCCUAGACCGUCAUUGAAAAUAAGAAUGUGUUCUUAACUGACUUGCCUAGUUAAAUAAAUAUUAAAUAAAGGUGUAAAAAAAAAUAUACAAAAAUGACAGAUUUCCGAUUGUUAUGAAAACUUGAAAUCGUCCCUAAUUAAUCGGCCAUUCCGAGUAAUUGGUCAACCUCUAACAGUGAUAGGUAUUUCAUGUCACAUUUGAGCUUUGUACAAUGGGGGUUGCCAGUUUGGUCUUUGACACAAUGUAUCUCUUACUGAGUUACAAGUGGUGAGUUUGCCAGUUGGUCAUGUCCUGGUAUUGUAAGUAGUUAAUUACUAGGGAAUCAGGGAGACACAGAGGGGUAUAAAGAAGAGCUUGUGGCUUUGAGAAGCUUCACAUUACAUUUGUGUCUUUGUGUUGAUGUAACCCCCCGUCCCCACCAGGAGAAUAAGAGCUACAUUCUGCCUCAGCGACACAAUAGAGUCCUUCAUAUCCAGAUGUUGUCACAAUGUGUUUUUGUAGCGCCAUACAGUGCCUUCGGAAAUUAUUCAGACCCCUUGACUUUGUCCACAUUUUGUUACGUUACAGCCUUAUUCUAAAAUUGAUUCAAUAUAUAAAAAUCCUCAGCAAUCUACACACAAUACCCCAUAAUGACAAAGUGAAAACAGGGUUUUAGAAAUUUGUCCUAAUUAAAAAAAUAAAUAGAAAAAAAUACCUUGUUUACGUAAGUAUUAAGACGUUUUGCUAUGAGACACGAAAUUAAGCUCUGGUGCAUCCUGUUUCCAUUGAUCAUCCUUGAGAUGUUUUUAUAACUUGAUUUGAGUCCACCUGUGAAUAAUUAAAUUGAUUUGAUAUUAUUUGGAAAGGCACACACUUGUUUAUAUAAGGUCCCGGUGUUGUCAGUGCAUGUCAGAGCAAAAACCAAGCCAUGAGGUCGAAAGAAUUGCCCGAAGAGCUCCGAGACAGGAUUGUGUCGAGGCACAGAUCUGGGGAGGGGUACCAAAAAAAUCUCUGCAGCAUUGAAGGUCCCCAAGAGCACAGUGGUCUCCAUUAUUCUUAAAUGGAAGAAGUUUGGAACCACCAAGACUCUUCCUAGAGCUGGCUGCCCAGCCAAUCUGAGCAAUAUUUAACAUCUGCUAAAUAUGUCUAUGUGACCAAUACAAUUUGAUUUGAAGUUCUACAGCAGCAAGGACUGGGAGACUAGUCAGGAUAGAGGGAAAGAUGAACGGAGC